rnacentral:rRNA from 1 species
UACAGAGGGGCAAGCGUUGUUCGGAAUUACUGGGCGUAAAGGGCGCGUAGGCGGUUCGUUAAGUCCUGUGUGAAAUCCCCCGGCUCAACUGGGGAACUGCACAGGAAACUAGCGGGCUUGAGUUCGGGAGAGGGAAGCGGAAUUCCGGGUGUAGCGGUGAAAUGCGUAGAUAUCCGGAGGAACACCGGUGGCGAAGGCGGCUCCUGGACCGAGCACUGACGCUG